rnacentral:rRNA from 1 species
GACGAACGCUGGCGGCGUGCUUAACACAUGCAAGUCGAACGGAAAGGCCCUGCUUUUGUGGGGUGCUCGAGUGGCGAACGGGUGAGUAACACGUGAGUAACCUGCCCUUGACCUUGGGAUAACUUCAGGAAACUGGGGCUAAUACCGGAUAGGAGCUCCUGCUGCAUGGUGGGGGUUGGAAAGUUUCGGCGGUUGGGGAUGGACUCGCGGCUUAUCAGCUUGUUGGUGGGGUAGUGGCUUACCAAGGCUUUGACGGGUAGCCGGCCUGAGAGGGUGACCGGCCACAUUGGGACUGAGAUACGGCCCAGACGCCUACGAGAGGCAGCAGUGGGGAAUAUUGCACAACGGGCGGAAGCCUGAUGCAGCAACGCCGCGUGCGGGAUGACGGCCUUCGGGUUGUAAACCGAUUUCGCCUGUGACGAAGCGUGAGUGACGGUAAUGGGUAAAGAAGCACCGGCUAACUACGUG